rnacentral:pre_miRNA from 1 species
AGAGGGAUAGCUGGGUCAAAUGGUGGUUUUAUUUCAAGUUGUCCAAGGAAUCUCCAUACUGCUUUUCAUAUUGAUUGCACCAAUUUUCAGUCCCACCAGCAAU